rnacentral:sRNA from 1 species
GUGCUGGGAACUGGGAGCCCCAGCUUCAUGCUCUUUUCUUAGUGCCUCAUUUUCCUCGUUCUUCCCCGCCGGCCCAGGGGCUACUCCGAGCUGCUUGGGGAUCCCCGCCGCCCCCACUGCGCAGCCUGGCUGGCGCCGACUCCUCUGGCCAACGUGGCGGUGGCGCCGAGCAGCCCGUGAACCAAGUCUGCAUCCCCAGCUGCCACGCUGUGCACCAGCCACGAAUCCACUUGGGUGCGGGGGAUGCAGGGGACCCCGAGCGCGCGCACCUCCCGGAGCGGCUGGCCCUUGAACAAAGAGCGAGUAGAAGAAGAGGGAGCAAAACCAAAGCAUGUGCUGAGCGCCAGUGGGGUGCAGUCUGAUGCCAGGGAGCCUGGGGAAGAGAGCCAGAAGGCGGACGUGCUGGAGGGGACAGUGGAGAGGCUGCCCCCCAUCAGAGCGUCAGGGCUGGGAGCUGACCCCGCCCAGGCAGUGGUCUCACCAGGCCA